AAUGUCAAAACGACUCUCGGCAACGGAUAUCUCGGCUCUCGCAUCGAUGAAGAACGUAGCGAAAUGCGAUACUUGGUGUGAAUUGCAGAAUCCCGUGAACCAUCGAGUCUUUGAACGCAAGUUGCGCCCGAAGCCUUCGGGCCGAGGGCACGCCUGCCUGGGCGUCACGCAUCGCGUCG
rnacentral:rRNA from 8 species